rnacentral:piRNA from 1 species
UAUUUCUUUAGAAAGCAUC